GGCUCAAACUAUCUUUGCACUAGUCCAACCCAUAUAAUGCAGUUCCCCAUACUAUCUUCUCCUCGCCCCAUUUAUCAAACUUAUUCAUUUCUUCAUUUUUCUUUACCAGAACAUAAGAAAUUGCAAUUCUAUGUGCACAUUAUUUGAUAGACGGUUUUCUUUAACAUAGAAUCUUGACAGUCCUGGUAAAGCGACAGAGCAGGU
rnacentral:lncRNA from 1 species